UUUUAGAAAUUAAUUUAAAGUCUAACCUGCCCACUGAAUUUUUAAAUGGCCGCAGUAUCUUAACUGUGCAAAGGUAGCAUAAUCAUUAGUCUUUUAAUUGAAGGCUGGAAUGAAUGGUUGAAUGAAAUAUUAACUGUUUCAUAAAAAUUUUUUAUAGAAUUUUAUUUUUUAGUCAAAAAGCUAAAAUUUAAUUAAAAGACGAGAAGACCCUAUAAAUCUUUAUAUUUUUAUAAUUUUAAUUAUUUUGAAAAUUUAAAUUACUAUUAUUUAAAGUAUUUUAUUGGGGUGAUAUUAAAAUUUAAUAAACUUUUAAUUUAUAUAAAACAUUAAUUAAUGAAUUAUUUGAUCCAUUUAUUAUGAUUAAAAAAUUAAGUUACUUUAGGGAUAACAGCGUAAUUUUUUUAGAGAGUUCACAUUGAUAAAAA
rnacentral:rRNA from 1 species